UAAACAGAAAUACUUGGUAAGAAUUUUGUGUUUUUGCAGUGAAACCUACCAGAUGGUUGAAUUUUCUCUCUCUUAUCAAUAAAUUAUGAAUCUGAUCAGUGAAUUUUGAUAAUUUUACCUACUUCAUGUCGUCAAUCAGGUUCUAUUUAUUCCUCCUUCACAUAAGAAAAUCAUUUGAAAACUGACUUUUGGUUAUUUUUGUUUCAAAUUAACACUAGUUUGAUGACCUGAGACAUUAAAUGAGGGGUGUAAAUACUUUUUCACAGCUCUGUAUAUGUACUUGCAUUCAGUGACCCUUUGAAGCAGAAGUAACAAUAGCUGUUAAACAGAAGAAGUUCCUUGAAUCUACUUUUUUUCACAGACAGAUUACAGCAGCUUCUUAUAAUAAGAGAAUAUCUGGAAAAUAAAAAAGGCUUUUUUGUACAGCACAGGGUGUAUAAUAAUACUUUAAUGAUCUCAAUAUUUACUUCAUCACAUGAUAAAUCAUUUUUCAUCAAUAUCUACUGAAAAUCAUUGAUCAGUUACAGCUCACUAGUGCAGAUAUUUAAUCAACUGUCCUUAAAAUUGAUCAAAUGAGAAAAAAAGCCUCAGUGUUUCUGUUUCCCUCCUUAAAUCUGAUCUGAGGAAGCAGAAACGUCAACAUGUUCAGCACACAUUUCAUUCUGUUGGGUCAGAAAAGAUGAGAAAGUUUUCCUGCUUCCUAACCGAAAAUAAACAAAAUGUCGGCAGUUUUCAUAAUAAUUUAACAUUUGAAUGCUUAUUUCCCGCAAACGAAAACAAUUCCUAAUAUUUUUCUUCUUUUGUGGCUAAAAACUUCAGAUCUACUCUUGUAAAUAAUCGCAGUGAGUGUAGCUGUUAAGUUUUAAUUACAAGAAAUAAAGAAAUAAAGUCUCUGUAAUAAAAUUACAUUUUGCUUAUAGUUUCAGGAGUUAAUUUCAUAAAUUCAGACAAAUUUUCACUUUCAUUUCUCUUUAACUUCUGUCCCCCCCCCAAAAACGGAAAUAAAAACAUGUUUUUGAGUUUCACUGUUGAAAAAUAUACAUCCACAAGCAGCUUUGUUUCCUCUAAUGAGGCUUUUACGUUUGAAAAUGUGCAACAAAAAAAAAGAAAGAAUCAACUUUAGUUUUUCUCUAGCAAUUAUACAUGCAGAUCAGCAGCAGGCAUGUAGAGACUAAUACUAAAAUCUGCCUCCUUUAAACUUUACAGCUGCUAAAACUGGGUUUAGCUCUUUAAAGUUGUUCAACCAAAUUGUUUUGUCCAAAUAUUCCCAAAAUAUCCGUCACAUUUUUCAUUAUUAAGAUUAAACUAAUCUUAAAAUCCACAGAGGAUGGCUUCAAAACUCGUCUCAAACAGAAAAAUCACACAUGAACAUCUGGAUUCCCCCCAAACACACAACGAACAAAUAAUCAGCGUGAGCUUCAACCGAUAUAAAAGUAGCAUCUGGAUCUAUAAAACAAGAAGAGCUGGAUAAAUCCAACACAUGCAAAGCUCAAAAUGCAAAGCAUCUCCAGAGGAAAACCAAUGCGGCGGCGCUGCAUUGUCACCAGACUCGCUCGCUAAAAAUGAACGGUCGUACGGUGGAAAACGUCAUAUUCAAUAGAAUAAAUAGAGCUGUGCAGUCAGAACUGGAGCUUAAACGCCUAGCCUAAAGAUCAGCUACGAUGUUUAACACAAAUAAUGAUAAAAACAUGAUGACAUCACAUCAGCUGGGCGCAGUUUGAGUUUCCUUCAGAGGUAAAAACAGAAUAAAUUACAGGAAAUCUAAAUUUAUUUCUACAGAAUCACAUUUUAAAACUAAAGAGAAACUGUUUUUCUAAAUAUUUUAUAUCUGGAUUGGAUAUUUAAAAUAGUUUCUAAGGUAUUUCCAGAAAGCUGAUUAUAUCAGAAAUUAUUUCAGAGCAAGUUUUCAGUCUCUUUGGAGAAAGACGUACAUUCACUUCAGUUUGAAAAAAAAAAAAAAACAAACUAAAUGAUCUCCAGUCUACAUUCAGUCUGUCAGUCCAACAGUGUACAGCUAAUAGUACACUGUAAAAACACAAAAUCCUGCCAAGUAUUCUGGUCUAGUUUGUAGUGCACAUAUCUUACUACACUUUGAAUCAUAAGAUACAAGCUUAUUUUAAGUAAAUAAUCCCUUAAUAAAAAAAAUUUGUUCUGCUGUUAGAUUAUUUAACUAGUAACAAAAAAUGUUUUAUUGGUGAAAUAAUCUACCAGUGGAACUAGUACUUUUUUAAAAUCAAUAUUAAAGUAUUAUUGACUUAAAACAAACUACUAUAUCCUAAAAACUAUGUUAGUUUAGUCUUUUUUCAAGUGUACUAAAACAUUUACACUAGAAACUAGACUAAAAAUACUUGGUAAGAUUUUAUGUUUUUGCAGUGUACAGUAGGUAGAGACGCACCAAUCAGAGUGUUAAUAUGCUGUUAAAGUGUAACUGACCACCCAUGAGAAAGUUUAGUUUAGCUCCGCCCCCUGAUCAUUUUUUAAAUAAUUCCACAAAAGUGGGCGGAGCUAAGAUACAUUGGGGGCGUGGCUAAGUGUGGAUUAAUGGAGGGAGUUAAGCUACUCGUAGGGGAAUCAAUGUUGCCAACUUUGUCAAUUUAUUGCUAUGUUUAG